AUGGGUGAGAGACAGAAAGAAGACCAAGCG
rnacentral:piRNA from 1 species